rnacentral:rRNA from 1 species
UAGGGAAUCUUCCACAAUGGACGCAAGUCUGAUGGAGCAACGCCGCGUGAGUGAAGAAGGCUUUCGGGUCGUAAAACUCUGUUAUUGAAGAAGAACGUGUGUGACAGUAACUGGUCAUGCAGUGACGGUAUUCAAUCAGAAAGUCACGGCUAACUACGUGCCAGCAGCCGCGGUAAUACGUAGGUGGCAAGCGUUGUCCGGAUUUAUUGGGCGUAAAGCGAGUGCAGGCGGUCUUUUAAGUCUGAUGUGAAAGCCUUCGGCUUAACCGAAGAAGGGCAUCGGAAACUGGGAGACUUGAGUGCAGAAGAGGAGAGUGGAACUCCAUGUGUAGCGGUGAAAUGCGUAGAUAUAUGGAAGAACACCAGUGGCGAAGGCGGCUCUCUGGUCUGUAACUGACGCUGAGGCUCGAAAGCGUGGGUAGCAAACAGGAUUAGAUACCCUGGGUAGUC